rnacentral:rRNA from 1 species
CCUACGGGAGGCAGCAGUGGGGAAUAUUGCACAAUGGGGGAAACCCUGAUGCAGCGACGCCGCGUGAGCGAUGAAGUAUUUCGGUAUGUACAGCUCUAUCAGCAGGGAAGAAAAUGACGGUACCUGACUACGAAGCACCGGCUAACUACGUGCCAGCAGCCGCGGGAAGACGUAGGGGGCAAGCGUUCUCCGGCUUAACUGGGUGUAAAGGGAGCGUAGACGGCUUGGCAAACCAGCUGUGAAAGGCUGGGGCUCAACCUCAGUACUGCAGUUGACACUGUCAUGCUAGAGAGUCGGAGAGGCAGGUGGAAUGCCUGGUGUAGCGGUGAAAUGCGUAGAUAUUAGGAGGAACACCAGUGGCGAAGGCGGCCUGCUGGACGAUGACUGACGUUGAGGCUCGAAAGCGUGGGGAGCAAACAGGAUUAGAUACCCCUGUAGUC